rnacentral:lncRNA from 1 species
CACCUCUCUACCAAAGUUGGAGGGAAGCUUCAACAUCUGUCAUCUGAAGUCUCGUUGGUUGCUACAUUAACCAGAGUUCUGAAGGCUUCCUCCAAUGUUCUUUUCAUAAUAUCACAUGGACUAUCCUUGCUUUGUCUUAUUGUUAUUUCGAGUCAUCUCUCCUUCCUGACUCUCUCCACUUCCACUUUGGCUUGAGCAGCAACUGUUGGAAAAAGACUGAACAAUGGACCAAGUUAGUGGAGUGAGGAGGACAAGUACUCAGAGGAAGGACAAGUACUCAGAGACACUGAAACGGAAAGACCUGGCAUGGAAUGAAGGUCAGCAGAUGGAAUCUAGAAGCCAGGGGGUGGUACAGUUCUGUCAUAAAAUUGCUAAAAGUGCCAAGACUUUAAUUAAAAAAAAAUCAAGUGCCAAG